rnacentral:rRNA from 1 species
UACGGAGGGUGCAAGCGUUGUCCGGAUUUAUUGGGCUUAAAGGGUGCGUAGGCGGCCCUGUAAGUCAGUGGUGAAAUACUGCAGCUUAACUGUAGCAUUGCCAUUGAUACUGUAGGGCUUGAGUACAGAUGAGGUAGGCGGAAUUGAUGGUGUAGCGGUGAAAUGCAUAGAUACCAGCAAGAACACCGAUUGCGAAGGCAGCUUACUAAGCUGAAACUGACGCUGAGGCACGAAAGCGUGGGGAUCGAACAGG